rnacentral:rRNA from 1 species
GACGAACGCUGGCGGCGUGCCUAAUACAUGCAAGUCGAGCGAACUUAGAAGGAGCUUGCUUCUUCUAAGUUAGCGGCGGACGGGUGAGUAACACGUGGGCAACCUGCCCUAUAGUUUGGGAUAACUCCGGGAAACCGGGGCUAAUACCAAAUCAUAUAAUUUAGCUCCUGCUAGAUUGUUGAAAGAUGGUUUUGCUAUCGCUAUAGGAUGGGCCCGCGGCGCAUUAGCUAGUUGGUAGGGUAAUGGCCUACCAAGGCGACGAUGCGUAGCCGACCUGAGAGGGUGAUCGGCCACACUGGGACUGAGACACGGCCCAGACUCCUACGGGAGGCAGCAGUAGGGAAUCUUCCACAAUGGACGAAAGUCUGAUGGAGCAACGCCGCGUGAGUGAAGAAGGUUUUCGGAUCGUAAAACUCUGUUGUAAGGGAAGAAUAAGUACAGUAGUAACUGGCUGUACCUUGACGGUACCUUAUUAGAAAGCCACGGCUAACUACGUGCCAGCCGCCGCGGUAAUAC